rnacentral:rRNA from 1 species
AGUCGAGCGGGGAAGGGUAGCUUGCUACCUAACCUAGCGGCGGACGGGUGAGUAAWGCUUAGGAAUCUGCCAUUUAGUGGGGGACAACAUUCCKAAAGGAAUGCUAAUACCGCAUACGUCCUACGGGAGAAAGCAGGGGAUCUUCGGACCUUGCGCUAAAUGAUGAGCCUAAGUCGGAUUAGCUAGUUGGUGGGGUAAAGGCCUACCAAGGCGACGAUCUGUAGCGGGUCUGAGAGGAUGAUCCGCCACACUGGGACUGAGACACGGCCCAGACUCCUACGGGAGGCAGCAGUGGGGAAUAUUGGACAAUGGGCGGAAGCCUGAUCCAGCCAUGCCGCGUGUGUGAAGAAGGCCUUAUGGUUGUAAAGCACUUUAAGCGAGGAGGAGGCUACUUAGAUUAAUACUCUAGGAUAGUGGACGUUACUCGCAGAAUAAGCACCGGCUAACUCUGUGCCAGCAGCCGCGGUAAUACAGAGGGUGCGAGCGUUAAUCGGAUUUACUGGGCGUAAAGCGUGCGUAGGCGGCUUUUUAAGUCGGAUGUGAAAUCCCCGAGCUUAACUUGGGAAUUGCAUUCGAUACUGGGAAGCUAGAGUAUGGGAGAGGAUGGUAGAAUUCCAGGUGUAGCGGUGAAAUGCGUAGAGAUCUGGAGGAAUACCGAUGGCGAAGGCAGCCAUCUGGCCUAAUACUGACGCUGAGGUACGAAAGCAUGGGGAGCAAACAGGAUUAGAUACCCUGGUAGUCCAUGCCGUAAACGAUGUCUACUAGCCGUUGGGGCCUUUGAGGCUUUAGUGGCGCAGCUAACGCGAUAAGUAGACCGCCUGGGGAGUACGGUCGCAAGACUAAAACUCAAAGGAAU